CGUCGGCGACCUGCGGGCAGAUGAAGUGGACGUGCGCGUCGACGGCGCCGGCGGUGACGAUCCGCCCGUUGCCGGCGAUGAUCUCGGUCUCCGGGCCGAUCACCAGGUCGGGGUGGACCCGGUCCAUGGUGUCGGGGUUGCCCGCCUUGCCGAUGCCGGUGAUGCGGCCGUCGCGGAUGCCGAUGUCGGCCUUGACGACGCCCCAGUGGUCGACGAUCACGGCGCCCGUGAUGACGGUGUCCGGGGUCCCCUCGGCCCGCGUGGCCCGUGACUGCCCCAUGGACUCGCGGAUG
rfam:Streptomyces sp. TSRI0107 scaffold11, whole genome shotgun sequence.